UGCAAAUGUAUUGGCAAUUAGAUGCAAUUCUCUUUCUAAAGCAAGAGAGGGCUUAUCAGGAUUCCGUAGAACAAAAGCCACUAAGUGGUCCUCCAUAAUGAAUGUAUGUUUUGCUGACUGAAUCAGAACAGUCUCUGCCUUUAAGUAGCUCAGUAUAAUUGGACAGUCAGACAAGUAACAAAGAAUCAAAAUCCACUGUCAUAAGCUCUGUGGUUUGUGUAGGCCCAAAGUGCUUUGAGAACAUCAAGAUAAUUCUCUUAACGGUGUGCCUGGAUGAUUUGCUGGGCUUCAGUGUUCAGAACGAAUCUCAAGGUUCAGAAUGUCAGUUGCUGGGAUCUGUGGUCUUUUCUUGGCCUCCUGCUUGCCCUUCGGUAGUCCUGUUCUCUUGGCCCAGGUGCCUUUAGGUGUCAGUUCUAGCUGAACAUGAUGGUGACAAGACCCAAUCACAUAGUACUGUGUCUCUGCUCCUCUAGGGGGUCCUGGUGUUCCUGGAACAGGCUCUCAUCCAGUAUGCCCUUCGCACCUUGGGAAGUCGGGGUUACAUUCCCAUUUAUACCCCCUUUUUCAUGAGGAAGGAGGUCAUGCAGGAGGUGGCACAGCUCAGCCAGUUUGAUGAAGAACUUUAUAAGGUGAUUGGCAAAGGCAGUGAAAAGUCUGAUGACAACUCCUAUGAUGAGAAGUACCUUAUUGCCACCUCAGAGCAGCCCAUUGCUGCCCUGCACCGGGAUGAGUGGCUCCGGCCGGAGGACCUGCCCAUCAAGUAUGCUGGCCUGUCUACCUGCUUCCGUCAAGAGGUGGGCUCCCAUGGCCGUGACACCCGUGGCAUCUUCCGAGUCCAUCAGUUUGAGAAG
rnacentral:sRNA from 1 species